rnacentral:lncRNA from 1 species
AGGUCAGACCAGGAAGACAGAGGCCAAACCCAGCAUCACACUUUGACCUGCCCGGGAACACAGUGGCUCCUGGGAAAUAACCACUAAAGUCUUGAAAUGUCUUGAGUGAUUGGAGGACCUUUAUUUUUCACGCCUGAUGCCUUAUGCUGAUGAGAUGACUCAGCAGGGGAUGGCCAGGCCAGAAAGACCAAAACUGUAUCCUGAGGUUUGAGUUUCUGAGCCAGGUGAUGUCAUCCUCCAGCUUGGCCGGCCUCUUUCUGGGAGCCUCUGGUGUGAAAGAGAGCAGUGCUUGCCUUUCCCAUGUCUAGGAGUUUGCCUAAAUCUUCAAAGAUAUGUGAGGCUUGCCUAGAACAUCAUCAUCAGGAAUGCUGGUCCUUCAAUUUGUUUUUUGAAUUGAAGUGUAGUUUACAGUGAUCAAGUUGAAAAUAAGGCUCUGCAUGAAAGCUAACUAUUAAAAGGGUGUGGGCACAGGAGCAACCAACACAGACCCCACAGAAUCCCAAACCUAUGCUAAGAGGGAGCACUUCCAUCCCUCCAAACCUGUGCUAAGAGGGACACCUCCAUCCUUCUAAGCCUGUGCUAAGAGGGAACACCUCCAUCCUUCCAAACCUGUGAUAGGAGGGAGCAUCUCCAUCCUUCUGAACCUGUGCUAAGAGGAAACACCUCCAUCCUUCCAAACCUGUGAUAGGAGGGAGCACCUCCAUCCUUCCGAACCUGUGCUAAGAGGGACACCUCCAUCCUUCCAAGCCUGUGCUAAGAGGGAGCACCUCCAUCCUUCCAAACCUGUGAUAGGAGGGAGCACCUCCAUCCUUCCAAGCCUGUGCUAAGAGGGAGCACCUCCAUCCUUCCAAACCUGUGAUAGGAGGGAGCACCUCCAUCCUUCCGAACCUGUGCUAAGAGGGACACCUCCAUCCUUCCAAGCCUGUGCUAAGAAGGAGCACCUCCAUCCUUCCAUCUGG